AGAAGUGGCCUACAUUCUAUAAAGAAAAGGUGAUCAGAGAAGCAGAGAACCUUACUACCACCUCAGUGCUCCAGAGUUUGCUGAAGUCUGCUAGGAAUCAGUACAAUGAUGAAUCUUCAGAGGAUCACCCAGAGUGGGACAGUGAUAUGGCAUCUUUUCUGCUGCUUCUGCAUAUUCUGCCACCACAACCUUGUAAAAAGAAAAAAAAUGAAAAUCAGUGCAGCUCAGGCUAUGGACCAUCUAGUUGUAUUUCACAAGUCAAUCAGCAGCUUAGAAGAACACUUGGGGAAACUGGAGGGACAUCGCCAGCCAUAUCUCCUUGCCUCUGGAACUCACAAGUUGGCCAUCAGCAAAUACUACAUUGUGAUUGACAAGAUGCUCAUUCCAUGCCAGGGAAUCACGUUGUUGGCAACCUUUGAUAAACUAUUUAAAGCGCACUUCGUUUUCAGUGUAAGCUAUGAUGACGCUCUCAGCAACAUGUACACAUUCCUCCAGACUAUGGUCUACAGUAUAGAUGUUGACACUACUAAAGGCAGUCCAAAGGUGAAGGAACUGUGAGCCAAGCUCUUGAACAGGAACAAAGAGUAAGUGAGCAAUGUUUAAGAGUUACAUUUUCAGAGCAUUGCAUAAUGCACCCACUGCGUUAAUUCAGCACCUCAAAUUUUUUCAUGGCUUAUAUCCGGGCAGAAAAUUUGUUCUUGGUUGUGCUAAAGAAGAGUGUUCACUACAGUUUAAAGGUUUUAGAAAGCAUUUAAAUAGUUGUCAUAAUACUGUUGACAUGGACACAAGCAGUGAUGUUCUGUAAACGACACAUCAGUCAGACUUUGGUGUACGGAGCUCACAAGAAGAUGCCUCUGAAAUGGACCUAGAUGUGAUAAAUCAACCUUCAACAUCUCAUGUCAAAAGACCAGGCAAAAGAUAUGUACUUAUAGCAAAGUUACAGGGCAGUGGUGUUGCCAACAGUCAUCUGUUGUUGAAAGUAUGGAGGAGUAUGUUAAAGUAAUAAUGGAUGGUUUGAAUAAAUUAAUAUAUGUCUUACGGUAUGUCUUAUGUCAUUGUUUUAUAUUGUACCAGACGGCUGCAUCAUAUAGACUGCAAGCAGCGGGUAUGAGCUUUGUUUUAUGACAUUUAAUGUUGAACAGGGUCAUUGUACAGGGUAUUUUGAGUGCCAUGUCCCUGGCUAAAUUUAAUGUAAAGCCCUGUUAAAGGAAAAAUAAUAAAAUGUAUUCAUUGCAGCACUUGGUCUGAUUAUUGGGAUGGUAACACUAAUAGAUGGUAACUGUUGUAACUAUAGUGUAAAUCCCAGUGGUCUAUGUAAAUACUCAACAUUAAUUUAAAUUUUGCUUGAACGUUGAAGUGUUGACCAGGUCAACAAGUUAGCUUUGAACACUGUUCUGAUCAUCUAUUGUGAUGUUAAAAUUUUACACUUUGAGAGUUUGUUAGUUAACACUGUCAGAGUGUUAAUAAUGUUAACUCUUUCAAAAGUGUUAAUUUAACACUUUACCAGUGGUUCCCAUAUAUACUCUGGGUGAGUGUUAAUUUUAACUCUGAGGGAGUUAAAUUCACUCUUUAAAAUUUGCAGUAGUAGACUAUAACUCAUCAACAGCUGUAGUUCAUUAAGACACUGACAGACGUUAAAUUUGCACAGCAUGUGGAAAGAUAAAGCCAACUAAAUCCAAUCCCAUAAAAUACAUAAAAUAUAUUAUAACAUAUAUCUCAUCAACAAUGGUGAUUAUGCUAGAUUUUUUUCUAUUAAAAAAAAAAAAAAAAAAAAAAAAAAAAAAUCUGGAUGGUUUUGAUUCAUAUAAAAUUCAGAAUAACUCAAUAGAAUCACAAACAGAAUCCUCACAAAUAUUCCGAUGUCAUUUGUGCAUGAGUUCAAAGGAUGAUCAUUACAGCAUUUAGCUGGUGGUAGACAAUCAAGUAUUUACAUUUAUUCAUAUAACAGAUGCUUUUAUCCAAAGUAGCUUACAAAUAAGCAAAAACCCAAGCAACUGAAAACAAAUUUCAUUAAAAAAAUGUAUAUUAGCAGUGCUGCAAUAUAAAAUGUGUACACCAGAAAAACACAAAGUUAGUGAAGAAUUGUAAAUACAAAACAGAAAGAAAAAAAAAACAUAUAUAUUGUUUGUUCGUUUUACUGCUAAUAAGAAGCAUUUAUUUAUGGUUCUGAAUUAUUGCUCAUAGAAGAGUUGUGUAAUGGUCUCAGAAGGUCUGUUGCUGGCUGAAAAAUCAUUCCACAGUGGGAGAGAGUGUAAAGGUUCUAGUACAGUAAGUGACUGCGUCUGGUUUCACAGGUGAAAUCAUGCAUCAUUCGCUCACUGACCACAGAGGGUGUGCAGGAAGGUGCUGAUCCAGAAGGAGUCCAGAAUCUUGUAUCUUAAAAGGGAAGCUUCGUGUAGCCACAGGAGAGAUACAAUUGCAGAGGCUUAAAAGCGCUAACUGGAAGGUCAAUUUCUUAUUAUAUGAGCGAACGGGAAGAAAAUCAUUGUACAUAAGCAGCGAGUAAAGGUGGACUUGCAGGUGUGGGAUGGAAUGAUCAAUCCUAGAUAUUGUAGAUUGUGACUUCUUGAGUGCUUACAGACUCCUGGAUAUUGUAGAUUGUGACUUCUUAAGAGUGCUUAUACAGACUCUGAGGAACCCUCAUAUCCAAUGAACCACAAACUUCCC